rnacentral:lncRNA from 1 species
UUUGAUGGUUUUAUACCUACAAGCUUGUUAAAUUUUUCGCCCAUACUUGGAUGCUUGUCCUUGGAUGAGUUGCCGGAGCACUUUGAUGUGUCGGUGGAGAUGCAAUUCUUUAGCAAAUAUUAUCUGCUACUUAAGAUAUGGCUGGUGCUUGAGUGCUCCUGGCUUCUAAAGUUAUGGUGCCUGGUAUUUGACACAUUGGUUGCAUAAUGGCAUUUAAUUUAUACAUGAGGAAGCAGUAUUAGAUGGAUUUCUGUGAUUGCUAUUAGUUUUUAUUUAUUUGAAUACUAGAUGCUAAAACUUGGACUAGGCUUUGCCCGGUUCUUUUUCUCGGUUGAUGUCUUGCUCUUGUCUUUCUCUGAGACAUUAUUUUUUUUAGCUUUUCUAUUUUAUGUUUUAUGAAAGCAGGGAAGGUCCGCCUCACCCAAUGCUCCCAAAAUAACCAUGAUAGAGAUGAGGAUGUUGGGUUCUUUGUGCUUUUCUGAGGAUACAGGAGCCUAUCUUUGCAGUUUGCUCACUUUUUCUUGCUAUAAUUUUGCUUGCAUCCUAAUUCCUACAUUGGUACACAUACUUGUGUAUAAUUACCAAAUACUGUUUUGCUCCCUUUAUCGGUUUGACACCCUUUCUUUCCCAUAUCAAGCAUGUCCUAGUAUGAUUUAGACAUAGAGCUGAUCAUGGGCCAGACCUCAAGCCUAAAUUAUAUUCAUUUGUAGUCAGGCUUUAUGCCGGCUUAUUUAGAAUUUGAUAUUUUUGUGUCCAAGCCCGACUCCUAAUCGACUCUAUAUCAGAUGCAUUAUUUAUUCUUUUUCUUUUCGAACUGAACAUAAUUAGUUUAUAUCUAGAUACUUCUUUGAAGGUCUGGCAUUUUAAGAUUGUCGUAGAGUUUUGCAAUGAUAACUGGCGAAAUAAAUUACAUACUAUCCCUUAUUGCUCGAGCAUAUGGUAAGCUAAUUUAAUGCCAAGUUACUUAAUCUCAUUUUGCGUUUGGCAACUAGAAUCUCUUUGUUUGUGUACUAUCCACAGUAACCCUUAGAAUUGCAAAUGCUUGAUUAGAAAAGGAGAAGCACAGGAAGGGACCAUGUUACAGAUUGCCCGGGUCAAGCUAGAGAAAUGAAUCUUCUCUCAGCAAGAAUAGAAAGCAGUAAUGCUUAGCGGUCAUGCUCUUAGGUAAGCCACUGACUUUGGAUCUGCCUUACGACAAGAUAGGAAGAGACUUUUAGUAUGGAAAGUCGAACCUUAUUCAUAAGCUUCCACUUUUGCUGUUCUAUGGCUCUGCUGGAGGUAUGCCAACAAUUUUUCGUGAAGAACCGCUCGCAUAGAGUUCGGUGCUGCGAGGAAAACUAAGGUCAAAAGAUUUCAAAAAGCACUGGAGCAACCAAUGGGGCUUUUGAGGGCAUUAAUGGGUCAAGGGUUAUUCAAUGCGAAAGAUUUUUCAUUGUUAAGUUAAAUUAGGGAUAAAGCAGCCAUUGUUGAUGGUUAUAGUUCCUGGGGAACAGGAAAGUUGUUUUAUCUAUAGUGAAGAGUAGUAAAGGAAGAAAUUUAAAUUUGUAAUAAUCAUAAUUAGCAACACAUGUCAAGGAAUUCUUCAACCAAUUUCUGCUAUCUUGUUUCAUAGAUCUCUAGUCAUUUAUGGCUUAAUAUAUUCCCCAAAUCAUAAUGUUUCAGGUGGUUAAUAAUAGAUUUUUAGUCAUUUAAGCUGCCUAACUAUUCCCUCAAACUGUCACGAUAUCUAAU